AUUCGAUGCAACGCGAAAAACCUUACCCACCUUUGACAUGUACGGAAUCCUUUAGAGAUAGAGGAGUGCUCGAAAGAGAGCCGUAACACAGGUGCUGCAUGGCUGUCGUCAGCUCGUGUCGUGAGAUGUUCGGUUAAGUCCGGCAACGAGCGCAACCCACGCCUUUAGUUGCCAGCAGUUCGGCUGGGCACUCUAAAGGAACUGCCCGUGAUAAGCGGGAGGAAGGUGUGGAUGACGUCAAGUCCUCAUGGCCCUUACG
rnacentral:rRNA from 1 species